ACACCCUCCCUCCCCGCCCCCACCUGAGCCUAGCUCCUAGGCCCACCCGCGUGGGGGCGAAAUCUGCCCGGCACACACGUGUGCGGAUUAUUAAGCAGCCCAGGCAUGGCCAGUGCCGUCUCCACGCAGCAACCCCUGCUAAUUGCGGGGGAAGGGCGCUCGGAGCGCGCGGAACCGUGGGGAACCGAUGGUGCGUUCAGAGACUGAGCUGCCUGCCAGGGGAAGGAGGAGGCCGGGCCCAGCUGGGCUUUGAGUGCAGGGGGAAAGGCCAGGAAGUUUUGUGGAGUUGCGUAGUAGCUGUUUCCUCUCCACACCUGAGCUUGGCUGGGCAAGGCCGGGUCCUCUCCCCCAGCCCUUGCCCAGACCCAUGAAACACACAUCCGCGCACACCUCCCAGAGAGAGUCCUCUUUGCCCUCCACUUUUCCUGCUCCGCCUCUCGGAUCCCGGCCAGACCAGUGCGACCGGAGGCCGCUGCCCGCCCGCCCCUGCUCUGCUGGCUGUGCCUUUGCCGCGGCUCCACAGCUGAGCCCGAGGCGGGGCGUCUGGACCGAGCCUGGCGGGUAGGCAGAGAGUCGGUGUCUGCGGGAGGCUCCUCAUUCCCGAGCGACCAGGAGCUUGGGCAAGGAACACCAACCGUCUGCGCUCCCUGGGAUCUUGGGGCGCAUUCCCACAGACACCCUUUGCGAGGGCCAGGCCCAUCUGGAGUUUCCUAAUGGAACCAGAGACAGUCCUCCUUCGCCUUGUCAAUCACCCUUGAAUCUGGAACACUGAAGGAACAGAAAAUGGGUGAAAAAGAAGAUGGAAGAAUCUAGAGAGGAAAGGGGAUUUUUAUGUGGGAAAGAGCAAAUGGCCAUUAAAAAAGAAACCCCACAAGAUUUGUACUUUAUCCUUUAAAAAGGAAAAGAAAAAAAUCUCUGUAGAUAUAUUCCCAGGAGUGGGACGAUGGGUGUUGACUGAUAGAGCAUCCAAGAAGGCUAAAAGGAGGAAAUGGGGGCAGGCACUUUCCGAUGUGAAAAUCAAUCAAUAUCCCCUCUCUCUACACUCUCUCUCGGAAUCAAGAGGGAGCUUGUUUUCUUUGCCAGAGAAUAGACAAGUGCAGGAGCUCCUGCCAGCCCCGAGGUUGCAGCCUGUAGGCUAGUUAGGGGAAAACAUUCCCUAACUCAUCUCAAGGAGAAAACCAAGUUCACAGAGCUCCGAGCCCCAGGAGCUACCCAGGGAGCCUCCUUCUCCUGACCAGGGAGGGGAACGAGGGGAAGAACCCGGAGACCACAGCGAAUAUAUCUGAGCUGGAAUCCCAGCCAGGGCUCCCCGCUUUCCUCACGCACCUCGCCAGCUCCUUCCAAGUUGCACGGAACGAAGUCCAGGGAGAGGAAGGCGGGGGCGAGCUCACCGAGGUAGCUACUCCUCUCUCCCUGACGACGCUGGAGGGGGAAGGAGGAACCGCGGAACGGGCGCCAGGGUGCAGGGAGCCCAGCUGGCGGGCAGGUUUGCCUGUUGGUAACCCAAACCCCUAGAGAACCCAACUUGCGAGGCCGGCUUGGCCAGGGCCACUUGCCCGGCUGCUCUGGGUCCGGGGAGAAAGUCCUGGGAACCACCCCCAGCCACCCUGACCCGUUGUACCCACAUCUUGAAGGAGGCAACGCCGCCCCGCCACAGCGCAGUUUCAGCCCAACUCGGGAUUCUCUCCCCUCUCUCUAACAACCCACACCACCG
rnacentral:lncRNA from 1 species